rnacentral:rRNA from 1 species
AGAUUUGAUCAUGUCCCAUAUUAUUUUCUGAAAGCAUUUUCGGGAAAUGAAAGCUCCGGCGGUUAUUGAUGGGCAUGCGUGACAUUAGCUAGUUGGUGAGGUAACGGCUCACCAAGGCAACGAUGUCUAGGGGUCCUGAGAGGGUUAUCCCCCACACUGGUACUGAGACACGGACCAGACUCCUACGGGAGGCAGCAGUAAGGAAUAUUGGGCAAUGGACGCAAGUCUGACCCAGCCAUGCCGCGUGAAGGAUGAAUGUCCUAUGGAUUGUAAACUUCUUUUAUGCAAGGAAAAAUAUCCCGGUCGUGAACCGGGACUGAUGGUACUGUAUGAAUAAGCAUCGGCUAACUCCGUG